UACGUAGGGUGCAAGCGUUGCUCGGAAUCACUGGGCGUAAAGCGCACGUAGGCGGAUUGUUAAGUCAGGGGUGAAAUCCUGGAGCUCAACUCCAGAACUGCCUUUGAUACUGGCGAUCUUGAGUCCGGGAGAGGUGAGUGGAACUGCGAGUGUAGAGGUGAAAUUCGUAGAUAUUCGCAAGUACACCAGUGGCGAAGGCGGCUCACUGGCCCGGUACUGACGCUGAGGUGCGAAAGCGUGGGUAGCAAACAGG
rnacentral:rRNA from 1 species